rnacentral:sRNA from 1 species
UGCGCCUUUCCCCUGAGCGGUCGGGGGAA